rnacentral:sRNA from 1 species
GUGAAUCUGGAUUGGGAAAGUCGACAUUAAUCAACUCAUUAUUCCUCACAGAUUUGUAUUCUCCAGAGUAUCCAGGUCCUUCUCAUAGAAUUAAAAAGACUGUACAGGUGGAACAAUCCAAAGUUUUAAUCAAAGAAGGUGGUGUUCAGUUGCUGCUCACAAUAGUUGAUACCCCAGGAUUUGGAGAUGCAGUGGAUAAUAGUAAUUGCUGGCAGCCUGUUAUCGACUACAUUGAUAGUAAAUUUGAGGACUACCUAAAUGCAGAAUCACGAGUGAACAGACGUCAGAUGCCUGAUAACAGGGUGCAGUGUUGUUUAUACUUCAUUGCUCCUUCGGGACAUGGGUCAGUACCUUGAUACUUCUGAUUCCUUUUUUGUUGUUGUUGCUUACUGUUACUUUUAUGUGCAUACUUUAGUAAUCUUUAAGUUUGUGAAGUACAACUGUACGCAUUAUGAAGUACUAAAUUUCAUGUAGAAAUGUCUUAGUUGAAAAGCCUUUUGAAGUCCUAUAUAAGCUAACAGUGAUUUUACUCCUUAGUUCUUCAUUCAUAAGGAUUUUCCCUGCUUCAUGAAAUAAACAGUGUUGCCACCAUGGUUUGAGGUCUCAGUGUGGCAAAUUUAGCUUUCAUGUUGACCACUCUGCUACUAAUAGAAAUACCAAAUAAAGAGAAGCAGCCAUACCA